rnacentral:misc_RNA from 1 species
UAGAAAAUUUCAUUAAAAUCAUACCCAUUUUUUUUUUUUGCAGUUAUUAGGAAACAAAGUUGGAAACACAAUUGUGAGGGUCUGCCGUUUUAUGCACCUUUGAGUUCUUAAACACCCUCUAUAACAUGCUGGUUGGUACCAUAACAUAGUUACAAGGUGUUUGGUAUUGUUCCUUCAACCGUAUGAACUCUUAGUCAGGUAAUUUCAGGACAGGAAACCUGGAGGUUCCAACCAGAAACGAUACUUCACUUUCGAUAUAUUCACACAGAAUAUUUCAUUAUAAACAAUCGUGUAACUGUAAAGGGAUAUGAUAGUGAGGAUCAGUAAAUAAAAAUCGUACAUGAAAUAUUCCUUUCAACAAGGCUUGAAAUUUGGUGGAGUGAGUAGUUGAUCAUAUUGACCCAAAAUCUUGACUGGCACUUAUAUUAUCAACUACAAAAUGAAUUUGAACUCAGAUUACAAAAAGUGUACGAAAAGCUGCCGGCGUGCUAACCAAUCUGCGACUCACCACCUUAUGAACACGAAUAAUGGAUACUCAACAUAUAGUCCACGGGUAGAUGUAGAGAGUAGGGUUAUAAACUCGAAACUGGAAAGAUAAAUAUUGGUUUCAAAUUUUGCCUCA